AAAUAACGUCUCAGUUCGGAUUGUAGUCUGCAACUCGACUACAUGAAGCUGGAAUCGCUAGUAAUCGCGAAUCAGAAUGUCGCGGUGAAUACGUUCCCGGGUCUUGUACACACCGCCCGUCACACCAUGGAGUCAGUAACGCCCGAAGUCAGUGACCCAACCAAUUAGGAGGGAGCUGCCGAAGGCGGGACCGAUAACUGGGUGAAGUCGUAACAAGGUAUC
rnacentral:rRNA from 1 species